UACUUUGGAGAUAUUAUGGAAUAGUCCUCGUGGAUUGUGGUGAUGAUGCUUUGUGAUUAUAGUUAUUACUCUAAUAACCUUUUCAUGAGACUUUUCGAAUCUAAUAGGAUUCUUGUAAACUAAACAUAUGUCCACAAAAUUAGCUGCUAUCAAUUGUAGAUGGGGUUCUUUAAAUUGACUAAAUGUGCUGUAGCUCUACCAGGAGAAAAAAUUAUAUUGUUAAAGCUUGGAACGAACUUUGUCGAUUUUCACAUAUACACUCUCGGUCGACUUAGGUCUUUCAUUUCAUGUCGAUUUAUAGGUCGGAAUAUAUAUAUAUUUUUUCUGGUGUUAUGUUCUGAGCUUUGUUUUGGGCCUUCUUUAGAAAAAGUGUUGCUCUUUGAUAUUGCUCUCUUUGCUUUGUUUUAUAUGAAUUCUCUCAUCUUCUUGAUUAAUAUGGUGCGAUUCAUCGGACGGUGGAGACUGUAAGUAGAGACAUGUCACAGUAACAGAGCCCUCAUAUGAUGGUCUUUUUAAGAGGAUCUCCUUGAAUGGUUUUUCUCCGAGAUUUCGCGCUUCCCCUACUCAUUUAGCUUCAGUAAUUGGGACAUUGUUCUGUAAAAGCCUCUGCACUGCGAAACUGUGCACUGUUCUACUCUGCAUUGUCUCAUUGUUUUGUAUCUCUCUUCUCCUCUCAACUGUUUCUUUUUCUAUAUUUAGCGUUCUAAUUCAUUUUUUAAUGAAUUCGCAGGUUUAGCUCUGCACUGUUUCUUCAGAAAAAGGCUGAAGUUUUUAGACAAAGUGAAUGAAGCACUCGAAUGUAUGUACAUUUGCCGAUAAAGACCUAACAAAGGACUCCAUGAUUUCGAUGUAGGAGGUUGCGAACUCGCUGAUCCUUCGAGCUGUUUUAUCCGGUAUGCAAACGGGGCCUAAAUGUUAUGGAUUCUGCGGAUUAGAGUGAUCUCUCAUUGUUGUUACUUAAAUAUAACAUUUUUAGAACAUUGAUUAGGGAACUCGCAAAUGGAAAGCCGAGUUUUGAGAAACCUUGAUGCUCGGACCGGUCGGCCCAUUUUCUGUUCCAAUAAAAUCAUAACAAAGCCCGCAUAAAAACUACCAAGUAAUUGUGGAUCGUAAGCGCUGACCAACGAUCCCAAAAGUAUGCACGGAUAGAAAGGGUACAUCCGUCGCACUCAAAGCUCGGCUGCAAAGCCUCACGGGUUUCGACCUGACUCAACCUAUCUAGACUUUAGGUCUAUUGUUGGGCUUUUUACCGUUAGGUCUAUUGUGGACCGCAAUCCUACUCAACUUAUUAGACUCAUCUAGCUCAAUUUAUUAGUCUCUCGGGCCUAUUGUCAUAGGGUAGUAAGUUGGACCUAUUUUAAUCAAUAAUAAAUAGCCAAUAGUUAGUAGUAUUAGCGACUAAUUACACCUUUCCUUGUUCACACAA